rnacentral:lncRNA from 1 species
CUGGGUUCAAGCAAUUCUCUUGCCUCAGUCUCCCGAACAGCUGUGAUUACAGAAUUCUCAAUCGCAAUCCUCUGACAACUGUUGAAGAUCCGUAUCUCUUUAAAUUACUGGCAUUAAAAUAUCUAGACGUGGGAACAACGCAAGUCCCACUUACAACACUUAAGAACAUUCUCAUGAUGACCGUUGAACUGGAAAAACUCCCCAGCAGACCACAGGAGGUUGGCCCCAGACUCACUGAGUGCCUGCAGCAGCCCUACAGACACAGCAUCCUUGGCCACCUCAUGCCCAUCCCGGCCAUCUAGGGUCAGCACAACCCAGAUGAGGCCGCUGAAGGGCACCGGAUGCCCAGGAAUCACCACCUGGUACCAGAAGCGGUGCCAGCCAGCAGGUCCUAUGCCCAAACACUUGGCUGGAGUGCAAUGGCGGGAUCUUGGCUCACCGCAACCUCCGCCUCCCGGGUUCAAGCGAUUCUCCUGCCUCAGCCUCCCAAGUAGCUGGGAUUACAGGCAUGCGCCACCAUGCCUGGCUAAUUUUGUAUUUUUAGUAGAGACGGGGUUUCUCCCUGUUGGUCAGGCUGGUCUCAAACUCCCGACCUCAGGUGAUCCACCCACCUCGGCCUCGCAUAGUGCUGGGAUUACAGGCAUGAGCCACCGUGCCCCGUCUAUGGAGACUAUUAUUCUCAGCGAAGUAACUCAGGAAUGGAAAACCAAACAUCGUACGUUCUCACUCAUAAAUGGGAGCUAAGCUAGGAGGAUGCAAAGGCAUAAGAAUGACACAGUGGACUUUGGGGAAUCAGGGGGAAAGGAUGGGAAGGGGGUGAGGGAUAAAAGACUAUUAAUUGGGUGCAGUCUAUAUUGCUUGGGUGAUGGGUGCACACAAAUUUCACAAAUCACCACUAAAGAACUUACUUACGUAACCAAACACCAGCUGUUCCCCAAUAUCCUAUGGAAAUAAAAAUUUUUUUUUAGAAAAAGAGUUCGGUCUUUCUGUAACCUAAUCUUGGAAGUGUAUAUUAUCACUUCUUCCAUAGGCUAUCAGUCUCCCAGACCAACCCUGCUACAGGGUAGGGGAGACUACAUGGUAUGUGAAUACCAGAAAGUGGGGGCCACUGGGGACUGGCUAUUUGGAGGAUGGUUACUACAAACUAUAUUUGUAAUUUUUUUUUUCUUGAGAUGGAGUCUUGCUCUGUUGCCCAGGCUGGAGUGCAAUGGCACGAUCUCAGCUCGCUGCAACAUCCACCUCCUGCGUUCAAGUGAUUCUCCUGCCUCAGCCUCCCGAGUA